rnacentral:rRNA from 1 species
GACGAACGCUGGCGGCGUGCUUAACACAUGCAAGUCGAACGGAAAGGCCCUGCUUUUGUGGGGUGCUCGAGUGGCGAACGGGUGAGUAACACGUGAGUAACCUGCCCUUGACUUUGGGAUAACUUCAGGAAACUGGGGCUAAUGCCGGAUAGGAGCUCCUGCUGCAUGGUGGGGGUUGGAAAGUUUCGGCGGUUGGGGAUGGACUCGCGGCUUAUCAGCUUGUUGGUGGGGUAGUGGCUUACCAAGGCUUUGACGGGUAGCCGGCCUGAGAGGGUGACCGGCCACAUUGGGACUGAGAUACGGCCCAGACUCCUACGGGAGGCAGCAGUGGGGAAUAUUGCACAAUGGGCGGAAGCCUGAUGCAGCAACGCCGCGUGCGGGAUGACGGCCUUCGGGUUGUAAACCGCUUUCGCCUGUGACGAAGCGUGAGUGACGGUAAUGGGUAAAGAAGCACCGACUAACUACGUG